rnacentral:rRNA from 1 species
GAUCAUGGCUCAGGACGAACGCUGGCGGCGUGCUUAACACAUGCAAGUCGAAUGAGACGAUUUAGAAGCUUGCUUUUAUUGAGUCGAGUGGCAAACGGGUGAGUAACGCGUAGACAACCUGCCGCAAAGAUGGGGACAACAGUCCGAAAGGACUGCUAAUACCGAAUGUUGUAUCUUCUCCGCACGGAAGAGAUAUUAAAGAUGGCCUCUACUUGUAAGCUAUCGCUUUGCGA